AUUGAACGCUGGCGGCAUGCCUUACACAUGCAAGUCGAACGGUAACGGGCCUUCGGGUGCCGAUGAGUGGCGAACGGGUGAGUAAUACAUCGGAACGGGCCCGAUCGUGGGGGAUAACGAGGCGAAAGCUUUGCUAAUACCGCAUACGAUCUACGGAUGAAAGCAGGGGACCGCAAGGCCUUGCGCGGACGGAGCGGCCGAUGGCAGAUUAGGUAGUUGGUGGGGUAAAAGCUUACCAAGCCGACGAUCUGUAGCUGGUCUGAGAGGAUGAUCAGCCACACUGGGACUGAGACACGGCCCAGACUCCUACGGGAGGCAGCAGUGGGGAAUUUUGGACAAUGGGCGCAAGCCUGAUCCAGCCAUGCCGCGUGCAGGAUGAAGGCCUUCGGGUUGUAAACUGCUUCUGUACGGAACGAAAAGCCUUCUUCUAAUACAGGAGGGUCAUGACGGUACCGUAAGAAUAAGCACCGGCUAACUACGUGCCAGCCGCCGCCGUAA
rnacentral:rRNA from 1 species